CCAUCGAAGGAUUAUUGCCAAGGAAGUCAGAUCAUCGAAGUUGUGUUUUCAAGAAUAUUGCUGGACGAAGGAAGGUGGUGGGUCAGCAUGUGGGCAGGCUGGUGGCAGAGACCAGGUAGGUGGUCCUCGUGACCUUCCAGGCAGAAGUGAUGAUUCCGGCCUAGGAGAGCAGCCGUGUGAAGGAAGACUGGAGACGUUUCCGAUGGACACGCACGGGAAGUUGGUGCCUUUCAGUGAAGAGGGGGAGGGGCGCGGGUGGGGGGCAGUUCGGGACGCCCCCGGUGGCUUGCCAACAUCGGGGUCGGGGUUGAGGGUGCAAACACACCACUGGAGCUGAGGGCCUGAGGGCAGGGAGUUGGAACCCCUCGAGGAGACUUGAGUUAUGAGGAGAACGCCAAGACCAGGAUGCUGGGCGCUCCUCGUGCAGAGAGCAGAAACCGAGGGAGGGCCUGGAAACGGGCCCGGGAGUUGGGCUUUGGGGAUCCUCAGCCAGCAAUUCAGACCCAUCCUGGGGGUAGUAGCUCUGUAACAGCGGAGGCAACUCCAGGCAGCAGCCAUACGUGAACAAAGAUGCUGGGAGCCUCCGGGGGCCUCACGUCUUCCCCGAGUGCGAAGCACGAGCAGGUGUGUAGGGAACACCUCCAUGCACACAUGUUCAGAGAGUGUAACGAAAGGUCAGUAAAACUUCGAUUUUCUUGGGAAAGUAAUAUUGUCCUGGGAAUCGGGAGUUUUCUCUUUCUCACCCUUACAUUUCGUAUCACAUUAUAUUCUACAUUGACAGAGCUGGCGGGAAAGGGGUCAAGUUCACAAGAUGACAUUUAUCUUGAGUGGCGCUGAAUAAAUGAUGAAAAAUGAUGUUUGCAUGAUAAGAUGAUGAAAGGGAAAAUGGGGACCAGUUUAAAAUGUUCUAAGCCUGCAAAGGUGACUUCAGAACACCCAGGGUUGUGUGUGUUUGGAAAACAAUGCCUUGUGUGUGUCCACCGGCCUCGGGAGCAGAGCGAUUUUGACCUUGAGCACGUCCAAAGCAAGACACAUGGCCACGGCCUCUGGGGGUUAUCGCGUCGGCACUUUCCCACUCUCAAAUACCAGUCUGCAGGAGAUUGACCCCCACUCCCGCCCCCAGCGUGGUCUGUGUCUUUUAUUCCCACCCUGGGGACCCAGCCAGCAGUCCCUUUUUCUCCCUCUCCUGCGCUUCACGCCCACCUGGGUCUGCUGCAGACCAGAGUGGUGGCAGGGGACGCCCCUUGAGGGCCCAGUGAAAUAUGACACCCGGGCGGGAUUCACUUCAGGCCGAGGUAAAAAUGAUGAAGAGCAUUUAAAAAUUAUUUUCUAUAGAAAAUCGUUUAAAAUGGACUAUUUGUUUCAUUUUACUUUGUCAGAAGUGUUUCCAAAGAAAGAGGGCAAAUUCUUCUGCUUUUAUUUUUUUGGUUUGCCCAUUGUUAACACUUGCCACAUUUGCUUUUUCUCUUUUUUAUAUCUAAUCCACAUCCAUUUAUGCACACACACGUUUUGAUGGCAUCGACUGGAAGUACAGACAUCAUGACACGUGACUCCCGACCCCUCAUUCUCCAUUACUGGUGAUGCCAUUACCGCACCUGAGAACAUGAACAUGCAUUUAGUGACAGAGUCCAGCAGACAAUUCCGUUUUCAUACUGCCAGUUGUUCGAAACUGAAUUUUCUAUAGCUGUUUUUUUCCUAGACAAAAUACAAUCAAGGUUCAAACAUUACAUUUCCUUUUAUUUCUCUUUUAGUAUACAACACCCACCCCCGUCUAAAAUUUCUCACGAAACUGGGCUUUGAAGAGUCCUGGCCGUUGUCACAACAAAUCCUGGUGGGCUCCACGUAAACAUGGUUGGGAAAAUCACAGCCCGGUGACACUGGCGUCUCGGGACAGACAGUACGAAGCUCACAACUGGCCACGCUAAUUACAGUCGAGGCCAGCAGACCUCCCCAUGGCAAAGGGAAGAUCAGACUACCCAUCGCAAAACGACUGAAGCCAUGACAGGCGCGUCUCUGAACGGCAGAUGGCGAGACGCUACCAUUGGCUGGGGCAAGUGCACGAGACUGGUUCCCAGCAGAGCCUGUGCGGGGUUCGGGCUGGGGCGGGGCCCGUGCUCCCAGGUUGGCGACCCAUUCUCCUGCCUGUCGGGAGGAGACCCUGCCAGGUGGAGGGGAGCCCCAGCUGCGCUGGCCGAGCGUCUGUAAAUCCAGGUGUGGGGUAGAGUUUCGUAGCGCAGUUUUGUUGCUCAGUCCCUGAGCAGUCCCGCUUCGACUAGGUGAUGGGGACGCUCUUGUUGGCCUGCCCAUUGGUCAGUCACAAGGUGUAGAAGGGACAAGCACAUCGGGCCCGGCCACUGCUGGCACCAGCCCAGCUCAAGGCCAGCCUGCUGCCAGCACACAGCAGUCACUGCAUCUCUGAAGUACUCUUACCUAUAAAAUGGAUUUGCCAUCGAGGUUCUCUCUAAUUGUUCGAGUAGGUCUGUGAGUGCCUGGAGCGACAGCGGUAGUUUCUCUAAACUCAGGAUGAGUUCACUAACAACUACUUCAGUCCGUACUGCUCUCAUUUCUCUUCUCGUGGGUCCUUAAUCCUGUCCAUUCAGAAGAGUAGGCAGGGUGGCCAGCUGUUCUGGUUUGUCCCCGCAAGGGCACAGCUGCCAGGAGGUCAGUGGGCGAUGGGCGCGGGUGAGCAGUACCGGGACGCAGACCCGUCGUCUGUCCAACGGGCCCAGGAAGGUUCCCAGCAGCAGCUCCAGGUCCCUGUCUGCGCUCGGCAUUCCCCCUUCCCCCACGUUUGUAUCAAUGACUUGGCCAAAGAAGGCGUGCUUAGCAGCUUUGCUGACAGCCUGACCUCAGCAGGAGUAAGGGCACUUCUAACUCUAGGACCUGCGAUUUUAUGACCGAUGAUGAGCUUUGUGUCCUUCAGAGGACCUGGCACUGUGUCCGGAUCAGUCACCGGGUAGGUUCCCGUCUGGACAAAGGAGGUGCUUGUUAAUUGUUUGAGAGCAGAACCUCUCUCUCUGGUUACUUCCCCCUGAAGUGCAAAUAGGGGGUCUCUGAAGGCCUUCUUCUUCCUCAAGCCACGAUUUCCCGUGAAUAUCAUUCUGAAGGUCUGAAUUAGUAUCUACUUUAUAAUUCUUAAACGCUGAUGGGUAAUCCAGGACAUUUUUAUGUCUCUGGGGAAAUUAUCCUUAAUGAGAGUAGAACAAAGCUUGCAAAAAAGUACAAGGUGAAACCAAAGCACUGAAGGCCAGCGCAGCUCCAGGAGUCCAGCACUUGUACCAGGGUGCCCGGCACCUACACACCUUAAAAUUGAGGGCUAAGAUUAUUUCUAUUACUGUCAUUACUUAAUUUUGCCCAGGCUUGGCCAAAGCUCUGAUUUCCUACAAAUAGCCAACUCUGAACAGAUGUGCCCAAGGGCAGAAUUACCAGACGAGAUGCAAAAACAAUGCAUUACAAACACAGAUUUCCCAGUAAGUAUUUAUCCAGGGCUUACUGUGUGCAGAGAAGCAAGUUCACAUGUCCACGGCAUAAAGCACACUUACUUAACUCAUCGAAAAUACAACGUAAUUAUUUGAGAUUUAUUUUAUCCUUGCCCUCAGACUUCUGACUGGUGGAGGAAGUACUUUUCAAUCUGGUCCCAAGCUAGCCGGCCAGACCCACAGAGUGGUCGUUAGCAUCCUUAUGCGUUUUGACUUAAAUGGACAAUGAGAUUUUUUAAACCUCUCUUGUUUUCUAAAUCAGAUUUAAUAGGGCAGCCAGCGUCUGCUUUACUACUUUAGCUACUCUGGGGCUAACUGAUAAAUCAGCGGCAGAGGCCAUGGCGUCCUGGCCUGGUGCCCGACAGCAGGGCCCGGGCCUGCCCUGGGCCUGCCCUGGGAAAGUGGCUCUGCCGUCCCCACCACGAACAUCCCCCCAGAGCCGUGAAACAGAGAAGCCGAAAAUACAAGAUGGACUUUGGGGCUGGGCUUGCUGUUUCGUGCCACGUGCCCUUGGUCUGUCCACGCAGCGCAGUACAGGGCAGCUGGAGUGAGGCCCACACUCCCUGGACUCGUGAGUGGCCUGGCUGUGCCACUGGGGACCGGGGCAGGGGUGGGUGCUUUGUGGAGUGUCACUGUCCAGUCGCCUCUCCUCUGGGCCUUGUCCUCCCUGCACGGAGGCUUGGCCAUUCGGGCCUGGAAGAAGCCGGGUUUCAGGCCGGUGCAGACCUGCACUUUCUCCCCGACACCAGUGGGGUCCAGCCGCCUCCCCCUUGAGCUCCUGGCCCGGCUCCUGUGAAGCGAGUGGCAGCGGAAACAACCUGCAUGAGAGUCAGUAGUGAUCUGGCCACUUCCCCCUGCAAGGUCAGCCCGGCCUGGAGGGGCCUGGGCCACUGACUUGUACCCUGACAGCAGAGGCCAAGUGGGCCUGUCGAGAUCCCAGAGGGGACUCAUGGGGUCUCUGCUCCCUGCCCACCCUCCGGCCACCCAGAUCUCCAGGCCUGGGGGGCCCUCGGGGGAGCGACUCUUCCGGCGGCCCAAUGGGGCCACCAGCAGGGAGACCCCGAGCGCGUCCCGGGUUGGGAAACCGUGCGACCGAGGGCUCCCUACCUGCACGGUGGGAUAAUAAAGCACUUUGUUACCUGUGAGUGAGAGGCCUGAUAAAAGGAAAAUAUUAUCACCCCCGCUGUGAUUAGGAGGCAUCUGGGCACCGGAGACUCGGUAACAUUUAUGAGUAAACAUCGUUUAUUUCUGUUCUCUGAUUAUGAAGGUCACGGUGGUUUAACCCUGCUGGGACAGCCUCCGACACAUUAUCUGCUCAAACAGAACUGGGAAAGAAAACACCGGCAGUCAUUAAAAGCGAAUUACUUUGUUUUAUGAAGAUAGGAGAGAGAAGGCCUCAGCUAUGGGGGCACUGGGGCGCGUCCAUGGCCCCGAGGAGACCCCCAGCCCACCCUAGGAGGGGCCGCCGGCGGGAGGAUCCCAGAGCCGCCGCCGGGGACUCAGGAGGGUCACAAGCACCCCUGGUUUUUUCAAGCAAUUUUGAAAAGCUAGCAAGAGUGCAGUGUGUGACGAUUCAGGUGUUUCCUUUACCUGUGAAAAUCGGUAAAGGAAAUAGGUCAAGGUAGCUGGAAGGAUUUCUGAAUUUCUGGUUUUAAAUUUAGCAGAGAAAUUUUUUUAAAAUUUUUUUAUUGGAGUAGAUUUACAAUACCGUGUAAGUUUUAUGCGUACAGCACAGCGAUUCAGUUAUACAUACACAGAGGUUCAGAUUCUUUUCCCUUAGAGGUUGUUACAUAAUGCUGAGUAUAGUUCCUCGUGCUGUACAGUAGAGAACUUACAUUUUUUGGGGCAUCGGUUUUACUUUUCAAAGUGAGCUGUUUGGCCUCUGACUCCUACGCUGCUCUGCUGGCUCCCUCGCCCUCAGGCUCCCGCUGGGGGGAGGGGUGUCCUAGUCAGCAGCAUGUACUUGAGUCACAUCUAGAGAUGCUGGCGCCUGGGACGGGCAGCCUGGGGCGUCGGGGAGAGAUGGCAAAGGUGGCAUGCUGGGGCAGGUCCCUGGAGCGUGUGUGUCCCGCGGGCAGCCUUGGCCGCAGGGGAGCUGGGCCAGGAGGACGAGAGGAAGCAGAGUGUGACCCAGAGCCUUUGGUUCAAACGCCUGGGAGGAGAGCGGUACCUUUGCUGAAGUGGGAAAAACCAGCUUAAUUUACUGGAGCCCUUUGAUGUGCUCAUCUCUAUACUGGAUACAGUGGGAAGUGCACAAAAGGACCAAAACAUACUUAGAACAGGCAAAUUCACAGAAUUGGAAAGUAGAGGUUCCCCAGGGGAGGGGGAAGGGGGUUAGUGUUUAAUGGGGACAGAGGUGAUGCGACAUUUGGGGAAUAGAUACAGGUGUUGGUACACAAUACUGUAUGCAUUUGGUGCGACUGAAUUGUACACUUACGAAUGGUUAAAAUGAUAACUACUAUGUGUUUUUUUGCCACACAUACACACACACACACAAAGAACCAAACAAAUACCCAGGGCAGAGUUAGCUGUCCUCCAGUCAUGCCCCAUCCUCCCUCGGAAUAGAACCCCAAUUUUUAGCGAGGCCUGUGGACAAAUGGAAAUAAAGACUCACUUUCCAACCUCCGGCAAAGCUUAGCAUGGCCGUGUUACGACUUCUCACCCGGGAGUUCCCUGGUGGCCCAGUGGCUAGGACUCAACACUCUCACUGCCGGGGCCCAGGUUCAACCCCUGGUCGGGGAACUGAGAUCCCACAAGCCACACAGCUCAGCCAGAUUAACAAAAGCGAGAGAGAGAGACUUCUCGCCAGUGGGAUGUGAGCAAAGGGGCCACACCUGAACCCCUGGGGAGGACACACGCGCACCUGCCCUUGGUCGUGUUGGUCGGGGUGUGGAGCCCAAGCCCCACCUUGAACCACAGAGGAAAAGCCACGAGAUAAAGGGCCGUGGCCCACCAGACCAGCCGCUGGCAGCCUGGGUUUACAGGAGAUGAAAUGAAUUUCUGUCCGUGAAAGCCACUGUUCCUUUGGCUCUCCUGGUGCGUGCGGCCGGCCGGGUCCUGACUGAUACAAUAGCCUACACGGCCCUUGCACUGAAGCAGCUAACAGGCCAGCGGGCGCAGCCCACGGCGGUGAGAAUUAAGACCCCACGGUUACCAACAGGCGGCGGUCUGUGGACAUCUCCAGGGCGCUGCUCACUCCUGGGUACCCUCCUGGGCAUCUUGCCUCCAACCGGCUGCAGCCUGAGGCCCACGGCACGGGGAGCAUGGCCCUGCCGUUCUCUGCUUUCUGCCCAGAGCCUGGUACUGUGUCGGGCACGGCAGCCUUACUCAGUAAGUAUCACUUAGAUCAGGCAGCUGUGGGUCCAGGUAGCAGGUAGUGGCGGGAGCUCGCGGAGCUCUUUGUGCGGCCGUGGUUUGGAAGGUUGAGCUGCGCGCGUAGUACGUACUGGAUCAGCUGGCUUUUCCUGUGUAAGCAGCCCCCCAGACGCAGUGACCUGCGACAACAGCCGUCAGCUCAUCUUUCUGUGGGCUGGCGAUUCCGCUGGGACUCUGGGACUCUCUCGUGGCUGCGGUCAACCUGCGUGUCGCCCGCAUCUACCCAGCUCGCCCGUGCCUCUCCAGCACAGCAGGCAGACAGGCCGUUUUCAAGGCUCCAGGCGCACCCCACUUGCAAACGCCUCAUGGCUCAAAAGGAGGCUGGGCUCCAGGGCUCCAGGCUGGCCAGAGAGGCAGGUUCACGGGAAGCUGAUGGCUCUCGCGCUCUCUCUCCUUCUCUGUGUCUGUCUCUGUCUCUCUCUCCGUUCUGCAGGAGUCCCCAAGAGAAGUGAUCAUGCCGGUGUGGACACAGGGUGGCCCUGGGUCCAUGAGCCUCCAGCAGGCAAGUCCAGGAGGGCAGCGAGUGGAGAGUGGGGACACCACGGGCCCUGUGUGGGAGGGGCUGACGUGGCGGAACCUCCUCUGGGGCGGCCCUCGGCCCUUCCCUCCUGUGCUGUGUGCUUCUCAACAGUGGCCCUGCGAAACAGGGCUGCCAUUCCCCGCUUGACAGAGGACCAUGGGGCACAGAGAGGUCAAGUCACUUGCCCCACGCCCCCCAGUCCAUUAGCCUGGAACUUCAACUUCGAGGACCCUCACUGGAGCGCGUGGACCCAGGGUGCCCCCUGUGCCUUGUGGGUGUGGAGACCAAGAGCUGCGAGGAUGUUGGUUUGCUGAACUGUUCCCUGAGUCUGUAUGUGGGGCCUGGCACACGCUCAGCUGCCCAAGCUUCCUCUCUCCCUGGGAGACCGGGACUGACCCGGUCCCCCUUCUACAGAAGGGGACACGGGCACACACUAGAGUGGUCUUAAAUGCCUGAAUUAUGAAAAUUAAGAAAUUACUGUACACCUAAAACUAAUACAAUUAUGUAUUAUAAGAUGCUGUUUCAGCACAGAAGAAAACAUGCUUGGAAGCAAGGCUGUAAAUGGAAAGGUGACCCCAUACGAAAACCACCCGCAUUGUAACAGAACCGGAUCAUCUCGGAGCACAAACCACCGCGAACCGAGCCGCCUUCACCUCCUGCCCCCGGGAUCCCCGUGGGGCAUUCCGGGCGCGCCUUCCCGAGGCCCGGGCCGAGAGGCAGGGACGCCCCCGGGCGGCAGCGGCGCUGCGACGGGGCCGCGGCGACCCCUCGGGCUGGCGGGCGGCCCUCCCCCGCGCCCCCGGCCUGACCCCGCGCCCCCGCCCCGCCCGCCGGCCGCGAUAAGGCGGCGGCCCUUUGUUCCUCCCCCAGCUGGGUAAACCGCGUCGCCGCCCCUCGCCGCGGCCGCUGGCCCGGGGGCACCUUUGUCCCGCCCAGCGCCGCGGACAAUGGCCCGGGGAGCCGCACAUUGUCCGGCACCUUGUGUACACUCGGGGCGGCCAGGUGCGCGGCCGCGGAAUGCAGGGUCGGCGCGGGGCCGGCGGGUGGGGGGAGCGCGGGAGACCCCUCCCCACGCCCCACUCCGCCCGCCUCCGGACCCCGCCUUCUCGCCAGG